rnacentral:rRNA from 1 species
CUCGAGGCCAGAUCUUUCCGGUUGAUCCCGCCGGACCUGACUGCUAUCGGAUUGAUACUAAGCCAUGCGAGUCAUUGUAGUAAUACAAGGCAGACGGCUCAGUAACGCGUAGUCAACCUAACCUAUGGACGGGAAUAACCUCGGGAAACUGAGUAUAAUGCCCGAUAGAACAUUAUGCCUGGAAUGGUUUAUGUUCCAAAUGAUUUAUCGCCGUAGGAUGGGACUGCGGCCUAUCAGUUUGUUGGUGAGGUAAUGGCCCACCAAGACUAUUACAGGUACGGGCUCUGAGAGGAGUAGCCCGGAGAUGGGUACUGAGACACGGACCCAGGCCCUAUGGGGCGCAGCAGGCGAGAAAACUUUGCAAUGUGCGAAAGCACGACAAGGUUAAUCCGAGUGGUUUCUGCUAAAGGAACCUUUUGUCGGUCCUAGAAACACCGAUGAAUAAGGGGUGGGCAAGUUCUGGUGUCAGCCGCCGCGGUAAAACCAGCACCUCAAGUGGUCAGGAUGAUUAUUGGGCCUAAAGCAUCCGUAGCCGGCUCUGUUAGUUUUCGGUUAAA